GGAAGCAGCUUGCUGCUUCGCUGACGAGUGGCGGACGGGUGAGUAAUGUCUGGGAAACUGCCCGAUGGAGGGGGAUAACUACUGGAAACGGUAGCUAAUACCGCAUAACGUCGCAAGACCAAAGAGGGGGACCUUCGGGCCUCUUGCCAUCGGAUGUGCCCAGAUGGGAUUAGCUAGUAGGUGGGGUAACGGCUCACCUAGGCGACGAUCCCUAGCUGGUCUGAGAGGAUGACCAGCCACACUGGAACUGAGACACGGUCCAGACUCCUACGGGAGGCAGCAGUGGGGAAUAUUGCACAAUGGGCGCAAGCCUGAUGCAGCCAUGCCGCGUGUAUGAAGAAGGCCUUCGGGUUGUAAAGUACUUUCAGCGGGGAGGAAGGCGAUGAGGUUAAUAACCUCGUCGAUUGACGUUACCCGCAGAAGAAGCACCGGCUAACUCCGUGCCAGCAGCCGCGGUAAUACGGAGGGUGCAAGCGUUAAUCGGAAUUACUGGGCGUAAAGCGCACGCAGGCGGUCUGUCAAGUCGGAUGUGAAAUCCCCGGGCUCAACCUGGGAACUGCAUUCGAAACUGGCAGGCUUGAGUCUCGUAGAGGGGGGUAGAAUUCCAGGUGUAGCGGUGAAA
rnacentral:rRNA from 1 species